AUUGAACGCUGGCGGCAGGCUUAACACAUGCAAGUCGAACGAGUGGCGGACGGGUGAGUAAUGCUUGGGAAUCUGGCUUAUGGAGGGGGAUAACUACUGGAAACGGUAGCUAAUACCGCAUACCAUCAGAUGUGCCCAGAUGGGAUUAGCUAGUAGGUGGGGUAACGGCUCACCUAGGCGACGAUCCCUAGCUGGUCUGAGAGGAUGACCAGCCACACUGGAACUGAGACACGGUCCAGACUCCUACGGGAGGCAGCAGUGGGGAAUAUUGCGCAAUGGGGGCAACCCUGACGCAGCCAUGCCGCGUGAAUGAAGAAGGCCUUCGGGUUGUAAAGUUCUUUCGGUGACGAGGCGUUAAUCACAGAAGAAGCACCGGCUAACUCCGUGCCAGCCGCCGCGGUAAUAC
rnacentral:rRNA from 1 species